AUGACUCUGCUAUCUGAUAUCAUGAAGAAGAGAGACUAUGAAAGGAGGUCUGAAGGUGUUUCUCCUUCUCUUCUCUGCGUGGAUCUUCAUCAUGUGGACCUUCGUCUCUGUCUCUUUACCUUCCUCCAGCUGUACAGCUUCAUACUCACGUGGCUUAAAUAACUGGAGUAACACGUGAUCCCGCCUUCUGCGUUGUGAUUGGUUCUCAAACAUGAAGCAGCCCUCUGAUUGGAUGGUGUGCUGUCUGGAGACUCCUUUGAGUUAUUAGGAUGUAAAGUGGCAGGAACGUCGGAGCGGUUUCUGUUCAUCAAGAGUUUAUCAGCCUGGAUAUCAACAGUCUCAGAUUCUGAUGCUUCCCGUUUGGUCGAAGUCUUUAGUCCAAGAUGGAAACGCAUCAGGAGUCCAAGAUCUUGCAUCAUGCUUGAGGAACAUCCUUACAUGUGUUAAACAUUUGAAUUUUGGAUUCUUCUCUUUUCAAACUGCAUGUUGACUUGAUUCCUUACAUUAAAAAAUAAAGUUUUUUAUUUUAAUUCAGAA